rnacentral:ncRNA from 2 species
CUCCGAGGAGCGCUGCGACCAGCAAGCCUGGCCAGGCUCGGAACAUCAACACCGCGCUCACGUU